rnacentral:rRNA from 1 species
UCUACGGGAGGCAGCAGUGGGGAAUCUUGCACAAUGGGCGAAAGCCUGACGCAGCGACGCCGCGUGAGUGAUGAAGGUCUUCGGAUCGUAAACCUCUGUCAGCAGGGAAGAAAGUUCACUGUACUAACUAGCAGUGUAUUGACGGUACCUGCCUAGGAAGCACCGGCUAACUACGUGCCAGCAGCCGCGGUAAUACGGAGGGUGCGAGCGUUUUUCGGAGUUACUGGGCGUAAAGAGCUCGUAGGCGGUAUGUCAAGUCAAUGGUGAAAGCCUAGCGCUCAACGUGAGAAAUGCCUUUGAAACUGGCAAACUAGAGUGUGUGAGAGGAUAGUGGAAGUCCAGGUGUAGGGGUGAAAUGCGUAGAUAUCUGGAGGAACAUCAGUGGCGAAGGCGACAAUCUGGCACGUAACUGACGCUGAGGAGCGAAAGCGUGGGUAGCAAACAGGAUUAGAUACCCCUGUAGUC